CCUCCAGAUGUUGCUGACCUACAACUCCCAUAAAUCUCAGCCUAUUUAAUUCAUAGAAUCAUGGGAGUUGUAGUUCAGCAACACCUGAAGG
rnacentral:miRNA from 1 species